rnacentral:rRNA from 1 species
CCUACGGGAGGCUGCAGUGGGGAAUCUUCCGCAAUGGACGAAAGUCUGACGGAGCAACGCCGCGUGAGUGAUGACGGCCUUCGGGUUGUAAAGCUCUGUUAAUCGGGACGAAAGGCCUUCUUGCGAAUAGUGAGAAGGAUUGACGGUACCGGAAUAGAAAGCCACGGCUAACUACGUGCCAGCAGCCGCGGUAAUACGUAGGUGGCAAGCGUUGUCCGGAAUUAUUGGGCGUAAAGCGCGCGCAGGCGGAUCAGUCAGUCUGUCUUAAAAGUUCGGGGCUUAACCCCGUGAGGGGAUGGAAACGGCUGAUCGAGGGGAUCGGAGAGGAAAGUGGAAUUCCUAGUGCAGCGGUGAAAUGCGUAGAUAUUAGGAAGAACACCAGUGGCGAAGGCGACUUUCGGGACGAAAACUGACGCUGAGGCGCGAAAGCCAGGGGAGCGAACGGGAUUAGAUACCCUUGUAGUC